rnacentral:other from 1 species
ACCCUGAUGUGUUGGCCAGUUGACGAGUCCUCGAGCCGAUAAUGUAUACCCCGGGGGUAACUCGCCAAUACCGGUGCGCAUGUCCGCCUGACGGAAAGCCUGAGGUAUUGCAGGGACCCCCACCUUGAACCUUACGGUUCAAGGCCAAGUCGACAGCCGCACAAUCGGGGCUU